rnacentral:tRNA from 1 species
GUUGAAAUAAUUUAAUAAAAAUGUUGAUUUUGUAAAUCAAUUUUGACCAGGUCUUUCAAUUUCAGA